rnacentral:lncRNA from 1 species
UCCAGACGUGCAAAUGCUGCCCCCUAGCCCUAACAGGUUAACAUCAGUACAUAGCAUCUCAAUGUAUUACAAAUAGCUUUAUCCUUAUUAAUACAUUUUAUACAACCAUUAUGAUGCAAGUCUCAAACUGAGGCUAUUAUAUAAACAGUUUUAUGGUAAUAUGGCUAUAUUGUCUCUUCUGAGUAUCACAAAAUUGUACCAAGCGGACCAGUUCGUAGCUGGAUUCUUCACCAAUCUUCCAUACCUUCUCCAGAACACACAUGUCGCUCGGUUCUCCAAUUCUAUGAGUUGGAAGAAUUUCCUUUGUCUCUCUAUGAAACAUGUGGUCGGAGAUUCUCCUCUUAGAGUUUUUACAACCCUUUCACACAGGGCCUGGUUUGGGGGGAAGAUAGGUUGGGGGAUGGUACAAAGGGGAGGGGGUCAACUGUCCUUCCUGUACCCAAAGAGGCCAACGUCAUGACACUGGUGUGUUUACGGACAUAUGCAAUCUCUCCUUAUCCCGGUCUAUUGUCCCCACUUGAUCAAGAUGUCCACCAUUGUUCCUGUACCCAAGAAAGCAAAGGUAACUGAACUAAAUUAUUAUUGCCCCAUAGCACUCACUUCUGUCAUCAUGAAGUACAUUGAGAGAGUAGUCAAGGAUCAUAUCAACUCUACCUUUCCUGACACCCUAGACCCACUUCAAUUUGCAUACCGCCCCAAUAGAUCCACUGACAAUAGAAUUGCCAUCGCACCGCACACUGCCCUAUCCCAUCUGGACAAGAUGAAUACUUAUGUAAGAUUGCUGUUCACUGACUACAACUCAACCUUCAACACCAUAGUACCCUCCAAGCUCAUCAUUAAGCUUGGGGUCCUGGGUCUGAACACUGCCCUGUGCAACUGGGUCCUGGACUUCCUGACGGGCCGCCCCCAGGUGAUGAAGGUAGGAAACAACACCUCCACUUUGCUGAUCCUCAACACUGGGGCCCCACAAGGGUGUGCUUAGCCCCCUUCUGUACUCCCUGACCCAACUGUAGUAAACUUGAUUACCAACAAUGACGAGACAGCCUACAUGGAGGAGGUGAGGGCCCUGGCGGAGUGGUGCCAGGAAAAUAACCUCUCUCUCAACGUCAACAAAAUGAAGGAGCUGAUUGUGGACUUCAGGAAACAGAAAAGGCAGCACGCCCCUAUCCACAUCAACGGAACCGCAGUGUAGAAGGAUAAAAGCUUUAUAAUCCUCGGGGUACAUAUCACUGACAAUCUGAAAUGGUCCACCCACACAGACAGUGUGGUGAAGAAGUCAACAAUUUGGCUUGGCCCGUAAGACCCUCACAAAUUUUUACAUAUGAACAAUUGAGAGCAUCCUGUCGGACUGUAUCAUGGCCUGGUAUGGCAACUGCACCGCCCUCAACCGCAGGGCUCUCCAGAGGAUGGUGCGGUCUGCCCAACGCACACUACCGGCCCUCCAGGACACCUAGUGCACCUGAUGUCACAGGAAGGCCAAAUAUAUCUUCAAGGACAACAACCACACGAGCCACGGCCUGUUCACCCCGCUAUCAUCCAGAAGGUGAAGUCAGUACAGGUGCAUCAAAGCUGGGACCGAGAGACUGAAAAACAGCUUCUAUGUCAAGGCCAUCAGACUGUUAAAUAGCCAUCACUAGCCGUCUACCACCCAGUUACUCAACCCUGCACCUUAGAGGCUGCUGCCCCAGGAGUUUUAAAUUAUUGCCACAUGAAUUCCACUGUCACUAAUUUCGAUCAAUCAAGAUUGUGUCCACAGUGUUAUACAGUGUUAUGCAGUGUUAUGCAGUGUUAUAUGGUGUUACACAGUGUUUUAUACGGUGUCAUGCGGUGUUAUACAGUGUUAUGCAGUGUUUUACACGGUGUUAUACAGUGUUAUGCGGUGUUAUAUGGCGUUAUACGGUGUUUUACAGUGUUUUAUACAGUGUUAUACAGUGUUAUACAGCGUUAUACGGUGUAUAACAAAAAGGCGGUAUGGUGUUAUACGGUGUUAUACGGUGUUAUACAGUGUGGUAUAUGGUGUUAUACAGUGUUAUACGGUGUUAUACAGUCUUAUAUGUUGUUGUACAGUGAUAUACGGUGUUGUACGGUGUCAUAUGGUGUUAUACAGUGUGGUAUAUGGUGUUAUACAGUGUUAUACGGUGUUAUACAGUGUGGUAUAUGGUGUUAUACAGUGUUAUACGGUGUUAUACAGUGUUAUAUGUUGUUGUACAGUGAUAUACGGUGUUAUACGGUGUUAUACGGUGUUAUACAGUGUGGUAUAUGGUGUUAUAAAGUGUUAUACGGUGUUAUACAGUGUGGUAUAUGGUGUUAUACAGUGUUAUACGGUGUUAUACAGUGUUAUAUGUUGUUGUACAGUGAUAUACGGUGUUAUACGGUGUUAUACAGUGUUAUACAGUGUGGUAUAUGGUGUUAUACAGUGUUAUACGGUGUUAUACAGUGUUAUAUGUUGUUGUACAGUGAUAUACGGUGUUAUACGGUGUUAUACGGUGUUAUACAGUGUGGUAUAUGGUGUUAUACAGUGUUAUACGGUGUUAUACAGUGUGGUAUAUGGUGUUAUACAGUGUUAUACGGUGUUAUACAGUGUUAUAUGUUGUUGUACAGUGAUAUACGGUGUUAUACGGUGUUAUACGGUGUUAUACAGUGUGGUAUAUGGUGUUAUACAGUGUUAUACGGUGUUAUACAGUGUUAUAUGUUGUUGUACAGUGAUAUACGGUGUUAUACAGUGUCAUAUGUUGUUGUACAGUGAUAUACAGUGUUGUACGGUGUUAUAUGGUGUUAUGCAGUGUUAUACUGUGUUUACAGUGUUAUGCAGUGGUUAACGGUGUUAUACAGUGUUAUACUGUGUUUUAUACGGUGUUAUACGGUGUUAUACAGUGUUAUGCGGUGUUACGCUCUGUUUUAUACGGUGUUAUACAGUGUUUUAUACGGUGUUUUUCUAUGUUAUACAGUGUUAUACAGUGUUGUUAUAUGUUGUUGUACAGUGAUAUACGGUGUUAUACAGUGUCAUAUGUUGUUGUACAGUGAUAUACAGUGUUGUACGGUG